AGUGAGAUAGCUGGGUUAUAUGGUAGUUCCAUCCCUAGUUUUUUGAGGAAUCUCCAUACUACUUUCCAGAGCAGUUGUAUUAGUCUACAGUCCCACUAGCAAU
rnacentral:pre_miRNA from 1 species